UACGAGGGGGGCGAGCGUUGUUCGGAAUUAUUGGGCGUAAGGGCGCGUAGGCGGUGCGGUAAGUCACCUGUGAAACCUCUAGGCUUAACCUAGAGCCUGCAGGCGAAACUGCCGUGCUGGAGUGUGGGAGAGGUGCGUGGAAUUCCCGGUGUAGCGGUGAAAUGGCGUAGAUAUCGGGAGGAACACCUGUGGCGAAAGCGGCGCACUGGACCACAACUGACGCUGAGGUGCGAAAGCGUGGGAGCAAACAGG
rnacentral:rRNA from 1 species